rnacentral:rRNA from 1 species
GACGAACCGUGCGAACGUUGUUCGGAUUCACUGGGCUUAAAGGGCGCGUAGGCGGGUUACCAAGUCCGGGGUGAAAGCCCCCAGCUCAACUGGGGAAGUGCCUCGGAUACUGGUGACCUCGAGGGGGGUAGGGGCGGGCGGAACUUCCGGUGGAGCGGUGAAAUGCGUAGAUAUCGGAAGGAACGCCGGUGGCGAAAGCGGCCCGCUGGACCCUCUCUGACGCUGAGGCGCGAAAGCCAGGGGAGCAAACAGG